AGGCGAGAAGAAGCUUCACAACAACUCGUCAUCCUACCAACACGGCAACCCUCCCCUGCCAUCUCAUUCCAUCUCCGCUUUUGCAGGUCGCGACUCGCAAGCAUUCCACACACUUUCCUCUGGUCUAGCUCGGCGCCAAGAUCCCAAUCACGCCGAGACCAAGCAAGAUCGCGGUUGUCCAUGCCGCGGGCGUAGGAGUUGAGGAGGAGAGCGCGGGAGACAUGGCGGCGGCGGGCAAGCUGGCGGCCGCACUCCACCGGAGGACGCACAGGGUCACGCCCGCGCUGGCGUACGCAGUCCUGGAGUGGGUCCUCAUCGCGCUGCUCCUGAUCAACGGUCUGCUCGCCUACGCCAUCGCGAGGUUCGCGGCCUACUUUGGGCUCACGCCGCCAUGCCUCCUCUGCUCCCGUGUCGACCGCCUCAUUCAGGCGGACGGUGGCGAGGCCGGCGGCGCGCGGUGGCUGAGGGACGUCUUCUGCGGCGCCCACGCCGCGGAGAUCUCCGCGCUGGGGUACUGCCUCCACCACCGGCGGCUCGCCGAGUCCAGGCAGAUGUGCGAGGGCUGCCUGUCUAUGUGGAAGGAGAUGAAAAACGAAGCAGGGGAGAAGAGCGACAUGGCGUGUUCUUGCUGCGAAGCUGUUGUCCGAACUUCCUUGCGCGAGCUGGAGGAUACGAGGGAAGACCAUGUUGAGGAGAAGAUAACCGAGGAAGAAGAAGAAGACCAAGGCUACGUUCUGUUGGCUCAAGAAGACCAUGACGAGGAAGAGGAGCAGGACGAGGUAGAAAUGCAAGAGCAGCGAAAUCAGUUGGAGGGCCAGGAACAACUACAGGACGAGAAGGUGGCUGCUGUUGAGGAUGAGUCCUUGAAAGUCAUGGCUCAGGUCGAAGAGAGCGCGCUUGAGGACGACCGGCUGGUGCCGGUGGUGGCGCUCGAUGAGAUGACGAUCGCCGAUGAUUCGGGUUUGCAUCGGCAUGUUGAAGAGGAGGAGGAGGUCAUGAAUCGUGCAGAUGAUGAGCAGGAUUCGUGGGACGUCGAUAUCCGAGUAGUUCUGGAGGAGAAGAGGAUGUUGGAUUCUUCGGUUGCAACGCCGGCUGAUGUGAUCGAGGACUCUGUUGUGCCCAUCAGCCCCAUCCCUCGACCAGAGACUGUAACAAGCCCAUCUGAUCCUAACGAGAAUUUCAUUCCCCAAGAUGGUAAAGAUACUGUUGAAAUUGGAGAGUCCACAGCUGAAGAAGAACACAUUGUUGUGCCUCAAGUCACAGAAGAAGUUCCUGAGGAUGACAACAGAGAUGCAGAGGUGGACACGAACUGUGAGGCAUCAUCGGCGCUUGAGGAGCCGGCUGCUCCAUCGGCGGCUCCAGACGACCAGCCAUCGCCAUUGGAAAGUCUCCAUGAUGCAGCCCCAACUGAGCAAGAAGCAAGUGAAGCCGAACAGGAGGUGGUGACCGACACCGCGAGAUUAGACCACCUACCAAAUCGACAGGACGAGGCCGAAGAAGACAAGGCACCUGAGACACCAACGUACGGCGGCGCUAUACAACGCUCGGACAGAAUGUUUUUGCUCGAGCGGAAACGGUCGUUGUCGCUAUCCUUGGACGGAAGCGUGGCAAGCGAGAUGGAAGGUGGCGAGCCUUCCUCCGUGGAUCAGCUAAAUUCGGCGCUGCAAGCCGAGCGGAAGGCGCUCGGCGCGCUGUAUGCCGAGCUGGAGGAAGAGCGGAACGCCGCCGCCAUCGCGACCAACCAGACGAUGGCGAUGAUCAACAGGCUGCAGGAGGAGAAGGCGGCGAUGCAGAUGGAGGCGCUGCAGUACCAGCGGAUGAUGGAGGAGCAGUCGGAGUACGACCAGGAGGCGCUGCAGCUGCUGAACGAGCUGGUCACCAAGCGGGAGAGGGAGAAGCAGGAGCUGGAGAGGGAGCUCGAGCUGUACAGGCAGAAGGCGCAGCACUACGAGGAUAAGGCGAGGAGGAGAAUGGCGAGCUUCAAGGCCAAUGGUGUCAGCCCCAAUGGCGGUGGCACUUCUGCAUCGUCCAGCGGUGAGGAUAGCGACGAGCACUCCGACGACUACUGCGAGCUCGGCGAGUCUCCGGACGGCGGCAACCUUCAGAGCACGUCCGGUGCUGCUCUUAGCCCCAUGACGGGUCAGGACGGCACGAGGCAUCUAGUGGCUUUGGAUGAUUCCUUGACGUACUUCGAGAUGGAGAGGCUCUCCAUCCUGGAGGAACUCAAGAUGCUGGAGGAGAGGCUCUUUACAUUGGAAGACGACGACAUCAACACCACCAAUGCGGCCGCUGGCCAUUCCUCCGAUGAUUUCGACUUGUCGGCGGAUGGUCUCCGGUCUCCCGAGUCUGGUUUCACCGGUGACAAGGCAAAGUUUGGAGGCAAGACUUCUAUCUGUAGGGGGAAGAGUCUUCUGCCUCUCUUUGACGCAGUAUGCGAUGAGAACUGUGAUCAGACGCCAUCUGCAACGGUAGGAGGAGAGGCAAAAGCCGAUGAUUCGACGACAAAGUCGGUUUCUGUUCUUGCAAAAGAGCAAGAGAGGCUGGCAAUAAUAGAGGAGGUUGAUCAUGUGUAUGAAAGAUUGGAAGCACUGGAGGCCGACAAGGAAUUCCUAAGGCACUGCAUCAAGUCCCUGAAGAAAGGAGACAAGGGCAUGGACCUUCUUCAGGAGAUCUUGCAGCAUCUUCGCGAUCUCCGCAAUGUGGACCUUCACGUUAAGAAUGCUGGUGAUGCCCUUGCUGCAAAUUCAGCAUAGCAGAUGCCCGCUAUACAUGUGGUAAUAUUCUGCUCCUGCAAUUUCCCUUUUCUUGUUUACUUUGCAAUGGAUGGGUGAAGAACAUUCACACUGUUAGCACACAGUUAUCAAAGAGCUUGCAAGAAUACACACCUUAAAACAGAUGGCUUCUGUUAUAACUUUUGGAAGGCACUCCGAAUAGUGAGUGUUGAAAAACAAUCGUAAUUAUCUCAGCUUGAUAUGGAUUGAGUUGAUCGGACUUGGAGAGUCGAUUGGAAUGAUCCAAAGUACUGCAUUGGUGAUGGUUCCUUUGCAAGAUAAUGGCUAAUUUUAAGGGAGGUUCUGCUCAUUUUGCCUGUGGGCCCGAAGCAAGCCUCCGUUUUGUGCUGGUACAGCACUGCCUGUUUUUAUGUUGUGGUGGUUGUAGGAAUCAUUAGGCCUUCCAAAGCUGCACAAAGCUGAAUCAUGGUGCCAGCUUCUGAGGUAUGCACGACUGAUGAAAACAAAAGAAAAAGGUUAGUCUGAGUGGAGAUGUGGAGUUUUUUUAAUCUGUGUUUUCCCCCUUCUUUUGCUUAGCUUUCAGAUUUGUUUGUGCUGAGCUAGGGGGUGUUCAUGUAUUUGUUGUACUUUUUUAUGAGGUUGUAGCUUGUAUGGUUGGUACGUGCAAUUUGAUCCUUGUUUAUAGCCAGAUUUAUGAUGAAAGAAAGCCUCUUUAAGAUGGAA